rnacentral:rRNA from 1 species
AGAGCGAACGCUGGCGGCAGGCCUAAUACAUGCAAGUCGAACGGAUCCUUCGGGAUUAGUGGCGGACGGGUGAGUAACACGUGGGAACGUACCCUUUGGUUCGGAACAACUCAGGGAAACUUGAGCUAAUACCGAAUGUGCCCUUCGGGGAAAAGAUUUAUCGCCAUUGGAGCGGCCCGCGUCUGAUUAGCUAGUUGGUAGGGUAAAGGCCUACCAAGGCUACGAUCAGUAGCUGGUCUGAGAGGAUGAUCAGCCACACUGGGACUGAGACACGGCCCAGACUCCUACGGGAGGCAGCAGUAGGGAAUCUUGCGCAAUGGGCGAAAGCCUGACGCAGCCAUGCCGCGUGAAUGAUGAAGGUCUUAGGAUUUGUAAAAUUCUUUCAGCGGGGACGAUAAUGACGGUACCCGCAGAAGAAGCCCCGGCUAACUUCGCGCCAGCAGCCGC